GAGACCACAUUGUUUUCUCAUGGAGCAGCGCCGGGGGCCAGAACAGGUCGGGCAGCAUUCCCUGUCCCGUGACUUCUGAUGUGUACAGCCAGCCAGAUGCGUCAACACCCCAGAAUCAGAUGUGUGGGGUGCAACCAGAUGGACUCUCACUAGACUGCGACUGCCACACGUCAAUGACUCGAAUCUGAAGGGGAAUCACCAGGGCAGGAACAGAAGAGAAAAAAGGGGUGGGACGGGCGAGGGCGUGUUGGAUCAGUGUUCACAAAAGCACCAGCAAAACCCGUGACACAUAUUGUGGCCUCUUGCUCUUCACCUCCACACGAGGCCGGCAGGACCCUGGUGGGCCCCUCGCUCUUGUUCCACUCCCACAGUACCCCAAGGGCCGGGGAAAGGCUUCAUCCCUGUACGUAGAAGCCACGUCGAUGGUUGUAUUCAAGCAAAAUCUUUACUCUGUAAACACCCGGUUGUCUUAGGUGUGGCAGGACGUGCUCUGGUUCAUUUAGUUUCAUCUGGCCCCAUGGAGGGACUCAAAGAGCCGAAAUUUGCCCUGAGGGGCCUGAAUGAAAGGCUGAAGGGGUUCCUGGAGCACGUGAAUCAGUUGGAAUGGACCAAUCGUGAACUGGAGGAGCAGAUUGCAGAGUGGAGAUUGAGGAACGUUGUUCCAUGUUGGGACUGGAGCAACAAGGAGGCGCUGACACAGGAACUGCGAGCUCAGGUUAGGAUAAUCAUAAUGGAAAAUGCAGAAGUUUUGUUACAAUCCGAUGCAGUGAAACUCAGGGCAGCACAUUUAAAGACCAGGUGUGAAACCGAGAAGAAACUCCGUCUCCUAAAGGAGCAGGAGGUGUCACAGAUGAAGAUAAAGAAAAUAGACGUGGAAACAUCCAACACUCUCCUGGAAAAACAGCUUUAUGAAUACCAAAAUGAGUUACAGCUAAUCGUGGAGGAACAUGAGAGAGAGCUGGAUCAGCACCAGCGGCGAGCAGUAGAGGAGUGUGAUAGAGUACUAGUGCAGGUUGCUGCAGGAGAGGAUGGCAGAGGAAUGGAUCUCUCCCGGACCAGCACCCAGUGCGACCACUCCAGCCCAGCCCAGAGCAGCCCUGACUCAGCCACACCACCAAAUCCAGCCCCAGGCUCUGGUCCCGUUUCACAGAGAAGGCCCCAAAAGGAUGCAACCAGCCCCACAGCUGCAUUUCUGUCACAGGUACGAGUAUUCGCUCUCUGUCUCUCCUUCAAACAC
rnacentral:lncRNA from 1 species